rnacentral:rRNA from 2 species
GUCUUUACGUGGAUAUGUAAGGUCUGGCCUGCCCACUGAAAUUUUGAAGGGCCGCGGUACUUUGACCGUGCGAAGGUAGCAUAAUCAUUAGUCUUUUAAUUGAAGGCUGGAAUGAAGGGCUGGACAAGAAACGAACUGUCUUUUUUGUAGAAGUUGAAUUUGACUUUUAAGUGAAAAGGCUUAAUUGGUUUAAGGGGACGAUAAGACCCUAUAAAACUUUACAUGAAAGGGUUGGUCUAUAAAUUUAAGUAUAAAGUAUUCUAGUUUGGUAAUGUUGUGUUGGGGCGACUGAGAUAUAUAAUUAACUGUUUGUUAGUGUUAAUAGAAAUAUUUAGAGAGUUUGAUCCUUUUUUAAAGGUUGAAAGAAUAAGUUACUUUAGGGAUAACAGCGUUAUUUUCUCUGAGAGUUCUUAUCGACGAGAGUAGUUGCGACCUCGAUGUUGGAUUAAAGUGUCUAUAGGGUGUAGCCGUUCUAUAAGUGGGUCUGUUCGACCUUUGAAACUUUACAUGAUUUGAGUUCAAACCGGUGUGAG